GGGGGUGUAGCUCAGAUGGGAGAGCGCUACAAUCGCACUGUAGAGGUCAGGGGUUCGAAUCCCCUCACCUCCACCA
rnacentral:tRNA from 1 species